rnacentral:lncRNA from 1 species
AGGUCAAAGCUGUUUUGUAUAACUUUCCUGUGCAGUCUAUAACGUUGUAAGAUCCAGGUAACACUUUGAGGCUCAAAGCUGUUAAAAUAUAUAACUUUUCUUGUGCAGUCUAUAACUUUUUGUAAGAUCCAGGUCACACUUUGAGGUCAAAGCUGUUUUGUAUAACUUUCUUGUGCAGUCUAUAACGUUUGUAAGAUCCAGGCAUACUUUGAGGUCAAAGCUGUUUUGUAUAACUUUUCUUGUGCAGUCUAUAACGUUUGUAAGAUCCAGGUAACACUUUGAGGCCAACGCUGUUAAGAUAUAUAACUUUUCUUGUGCAGUCUAUAAUUUUUGUAAGAUCCAGGUCACACUUUGAGGUCAAAGCUGUUAAAAUAUAUAACUUUUCUUGUGCAGUCUAUAACGUUUGUAAGAUCCAGGUAACACUUUGAGGUCAAAGCUGUUAAAAUAUAUAACUUUUCUUGUGCAGUCUAUAACGUUUGUAAGAUCCAGGUCAUACUUUGAGGUCAACGCUGUUAAAAUAUAUAACUUUUCUUGUGCAGUCUAUAACGUUUGUAAGAUCCAGGUCAUGCUUUGAGGCCAACGCUGUUAAGAUAUAUAACUUUUCUUGUGCAGUCUAUUAUUUUUGUAAGAUCCAGGUCACACUUUGAGGUCAAAGCUGUUAAAAUAUAUAACUUUUCUUGUGCAGUCUAUAACGUUUGUAAGAUCCAGGUAACACUUUGAGGUCAAAGCUGUUAAAAUGUAUAACUUUUCUUGUGCAGUCUAUAACGUUUGUAAGAUCCAGGUCACACUUUGAGGUCAAAGCUGUUUUGUAUAACUUUUCUUGUGCAGUCUAUAACGUUUGUAAGAUCCAGGUCACACUUUGAGGUCAAAGCUGUUUUAUAUAACUUUUCUUGUUCAGUCUAUAACGUUUGUAAGACCCAGGUCAUACUUUGAGGUCAAAGCUGUUUUGUAUAACAUUUCUUGUGCAGUCUAAAACGUUUGUAAGACCCAGGUCAUACCUUGAGGUCAAAGCUGUUUUGUAUAACUUUUCUUGUGCAGUCUAUAACGUUUGUAAGAUCCAUGUCAUACUUUGAGGUCAAAGCAGUUUUAUAUAACUUUUCUUGUGCAGUCUAUAACGUUUGUACGAUCAAAAUGCAACUACCUUUACACAAAUAUUUACCAUAACUAGACAUUGUCUAUAUCCUAGUUAAAAAGGUCAAGGUCA